rnacentral:rRNA from 1 species
CGCGUAGGUGGCCCGUUAAGUGGCUGGUGAAAUCCCGCGGCUCAACUGCGGGGCUGCCGGUCAGACUGGCGAGCUAGAGCACGGUAGGGGCAGAUGGAAUUCCCGGUGUAGCGGUGGAAUGCGUAGAGAUCGGGAAGAAUACCAGUGGCGAAGGCGUUCUGCUGGGCCGUUGCUGACACUGAGGCGCGACAGCGUGGGGAGCAAACAGGAUUAGAUACCCUGGUAGUCCACGCCGUAAACGAUGGACACUAGACGUCGGGGGGAGCGACCCUCCCGGUGUCGUCGCUAACGCAGUAAGUGUCCCGCCUGGGGAGUACGGCCGCAAGGCUGAA